AUGCUUAAAAUAGAUCUAUCCAAAGCUUUUGAUAGACUCGAGUGAAAUUUCAUUGUUGCUGCUCUUGCACGUAAAGGGUUGCACGGUCAUUUUAUUAAUUUAUUCCACUCAUGUGUUUCUACGCCGACUUUUUCUGUUGUCAUUAAUGGUCAACCAUUUGCGAGUUUCAGAGGAGAUAGAGGUGUUCGACAAGGUUGUCCCCUGUCCCCAUACCUUUUUGUCCUAGCAGCUAAUUGUUUUGAAGGUAUAACUAUGGGACCAAAUUGCCGUGCUAUACACUCUCUCCUUUUGGCAAAUGAUCUACUUGUUUGUGGAAAGGCUACAGUACAAGAAGCAACAAGGACGAAGCAGAUCUUGCAUGAUUUCUGCAUACGCUCGGGCCAGACUCCAAAUUGGAGUAAAUCCGGGAUAAUCUUCUGUAAACAUGUUCAUCCUAAAGAAUGUCAAUUAAUCAAUCAGAUUUUCCUGGUGCCAACCAUUGACAACAACUUCAUUCAUCUUGGGCAUCCUCUCAUCAUCCCGGGUAAGGAUAGAACAAUAGCCUACAACGUCGUGCUUGAUAAAUUCAAAUCCAAGCUCACAACAUACAAGGCUGAUAAACUUUCUCAUGCUGCAAGGCUUGAGCUCAUCUAA
rnacentral:rRNA from 1 species